UAGUGCGUUUUAAAGGUCUAUAGUAAAACAACAACAAAAUUAUAGAAGAGCUUUUGUAUCUGCCAUAAAGAUGCUGCCACUGAUCCAGGUGUAAUAAAACAACCUCCUCCUUGCCUGGCUGGAUCUGGUCCGUUACUUUUUACUUAAUGCUUUUUUUAUUUUUAUUUUAGAUUUAGUGCGCGCUACAAACACCUCGCAGAGCGGAUGUGUGAGUGCUGUGAUUUAACACCGUCGGCGCUACAGCAGCUUUGCCGGGCAGGAACGGAAAGUGACAAAGUCAUGUAUUGUGCAGCACAUUUGCUUCUCUCUCUCUCUCUCUCUCUUUUUGUUUAAAUUAAACUCUUUGUAUAAAUAGUCAUUCUGGCUGAUUAUAUAAUCUCCCACAUUUAGAUCGUCUGUGUUGCAACCAUGGCAACUCCCCGAGCCGAACGCAUUCGGUUCAAACUUCGUUCUAAAUUUGCUGAUGAGGGUGAAGAAACAGCUCUGGAAGCCCUUCUCAGACAACCUACAUUUGUUCUUUGCCUGCAGAGCUCAAUCCAGCUUGGACAGAGAGCACCCAGUGCCCUAAAUAGCUAAGCAACCAUCUGAGGGUGAGCUAACUGCCCUGGGGGCUGAUAUUUGGUCCUGCCGAAUGUGUCCCACUGGUCAGAUGGCUGGGAGCAGCUCAGCCGUGGAUUUAGGGAGAUGUUGGCCGAGCUGCCCCGAAACUGCAGGAAUUUCAGACUGCAGCCAGCUCCUGACCCCCUGGGAUGGGCAGCCCCUGCUGCUCUGCACUGAGGUUGCAGAAGUAAGGUAAAGUGAGGCCGAGAAUUGUGUGCAGAGUGGAAAAAGCACAAGUGGGUUUUAAAUAACAAUUUGGAAAAAAAAAAAAAAAAGAGCAACUACAUAACUGUUCUAAUUAACCAUUGUGCUCACCUACCGUAUUUCUACUUAUAAUUCUUGGUAUUUUCUUUGAAAGGAUGAAUCAUCCCAAUCAGGUCUUUAUUUUUCUUGUGCCAUAAAUACAACAGAUGAAACGUGUGGCCAAAUUUUCAAGUGAGAUAGCUGUCCAAAUGUCCUAUAGUGGUCACAAGCACAGGAGCCAAAAUCAGACACAGUGAUUUGGGACUGGCAGCACUUCCAGAUUUGCUAGGACUGAAACCCUGCUGUGUUAGGCACUGGCUAAACCCUACAGUCAAUAAAUUGGAGAGUUUAUGCA
rnacentral:lncRNA from 1 species